GAGGGCAUAGCUCAGAGGUAGAGCACGUGCCUAGAAUGCACGAGGUCCUGGGUUCAAUCCCCAGUAUCACCU
rnacentral:tRNA from 1 species